GACGAACCGUGCGAACGUUUAUUCGGAAUCACUGGGCUUAAAGCGCGUGUAGGCGGGACGGCACGUCGGUCGCUGAAAGCCCCCGGCUCAACCGGGGAACGGCGCGGGAAACUAGCAGGCUUGAGUUCGGGAGAGGGAAGCGGAAUUCCUGGUGUAGCGGUGAAAUGCGCAGAUAUCAGGAGGAACACCGGUGGCGAAGGCGGGUCUCUGGGCCGAUACUGACGCUGAGGAGCGAAAGCUAGGGGUAGCAAACGGGG
rnacentral:rRNA from 1 species